ensembl:snRNA U6 U6 spliceosomal RNA
UUGUCAUUUCGGCAGCAGGUACACUGAAACUGGAACAAUACAGAGAAGAUUAGCAUGGCCCCACUCAAAGAUGACACACGUAUUUAUGAAGUAUUCCAUAUUUCU